AUACUUACUUGGCAAGGGAGACACAAUGAUGUGAGGCUUAUCCCCUGCAAUCCGGAUGUGUUUACUCCUGUGAUUUUCCCCAAAUACAGGAAAUUUGACUGAAUAAUUUGUGGUAGUGGGGAAGUGUUUCUUU
rnacentral:snRNA from 1 species